rnacentral:rRNA from 1 species
UAUAAAUGUAAUUUAUAAUGCUAGAUUAGUAAUAGUUAUGUUCUUUAAAAUUAAAGAUUUUGGCGGUAUUUUAGUCUAUUCAGAGGAACUUGUUCUGUAAUCGAUAGUCCACGAUUUAAUUUACUUUUUUUAUUAAUUUACAUAUCAUCGUAAUUGAAUAUUUUAUAAGAAUUAUAAUAUUCAAGAUUUUUAAUAAAAAAAUAAAUCAGAUCAAGGUGUAGUUUAUAAAAAAGUAGAAAUGGGUUACAUUAAAUAUAAUUUUAGAUUUUUAUUUUUAAAAUAUAAUGAAUUUGGAUUUGAAAGUAAUUUUAAUUAAUUAAUUAAUUUGAUUUUAGCUCUAAAAUAUGC